rnacentral:misc_RNA from 1 species
GAUUUUUACUAAAAAAUCUUCCAAUGUUAUAAAUAUAUCAAUCAACCAUCCCUUCUCCUCUGCAAGGGUUAAGACGCACUGGAGAGGGGUAAAAUAUCUUAAGCAAGAGCAAAAGCAUAAUCAUAAGUCCAGAAAACUGAUAAAAACUUUUCCCAUUGUCUAGAGUUUCAAAUUUAUAACAAACAACUUCCUUGUUGCAUCCAAUUCCCUGCAUAAAAAUCCAUUCCAUUCCAUCGUGCAAUUAAAAAAAAUCCUAACAAAUGCUAAGAUUUCAAAUAAAAAGACCUACUUUUUAACAGAUUUCUUCUUCGAAUUCACAGGCUGAAUCUGAGGCUUGGGAUGCUUCUCGGCUUCGCUGGGGUCCAACCA